ACAGUGGAAACCGCAAUGGAUGAUCACAUUCACAUAUAGUGGAGCACCGGGUCCACACCUUGCGUCACGUCCAAAUAUUUCUGGUCGUGGGUCAUUUUCUCACACCUCGAUCGGUAUAUGUUAUUACAUAAACAUAAAUGGUUGAACAAGGUUACGCGGUAAUUAGAUUUGUAUGUAGUCAUAAUUUGUACAGAAAAGCAAACUGAUCAGGCGGACCGCCCUACGUCCCAUGGUUGAUCUACAGCUGUCCUUGAUGUUGUUCUUCUUAAAUCUACUUCUUGAUUAUCCCAUUUGACUUGAUCUCUUAAUUUUUAAGUGUCAACACCGUCCAGUGGGGUCACUGCAAUUCUGAACUUUUUGUUAUUAUAAUUUAACAUAUGAAAUACUAUUUCUAUUUUAGUUGCUAGUCUUAGUCAGUGUUUCUGUUUUGGAGGUACAUUGUGGGCUCUAAAGUUUCUGAAUUCUAGAUUUGUGGCGGGUGUUAGCUGUAGUGGACUAGGAGCUUGAUCACCGUAAGUCACUGCUUAGAUGCAAUUAGCUGUAGUGUUUUGAUAUUUGAGUCCCUAUUUAUUAGAUUAUGUUUUGCUUUUCACUCUUCUGUCAAUGGCUAUCAUGCCCGGCCGCCUUGAUGAAAGAAAUAGCCGCAGUGCCAAUAGUUUCAGUACUACAGAUUUGUUAUGAAAAUGAAAUUUUGGCUUUUCAGCAAUUCUGGGUCGUUAUUGAAUUUUCAACAAUAUCACCCAUCUAUGUUUAUGUAUUAGAAAAUUGCAACAUGGUGGAAGGACCAUUAUGUAUUCUUUUUUUCGCAAGUUGAGGUUGAAGAUGUCUGUUUGAUAUGUCCAUACCUUUUCUGUCCUUUCUAUUUGGUGGUGAUAUGAAUCUUCCUUCUAUUUGGCAUCAAAAUAAGCCUACCCUUAGACUCUCUCAUCAGGUUAUGCCUGACAUACCUCUUAUUUAACUGGCGAUUACAAGCUUGCUACUGUUCCUAUAUUCAAGGACCCGUCCGUUGAAAGUCCAAAAUAUUGGUGAUUCUGGCCUCAAGUGGAAAUUUGUUAUCUUGAGACUAUGAGAACCAAUCGAGGGAAACGCUCUGAGGCCUUUUGGCCUUCCAUUGUGAUGAAGAAGUGGCUAAAUAUCAAGCCGAAGGUGUAUGAGUUCAGUGAAGAUGAGGUUGACACUGAAACUGAAAGUGAAGAUGAUGCUUGCUCUCUUAAAGAUGAAAGAAUGCACGUGCCUGAGGAUCAUGCCCAGAGGACACAGGGGAACCUUUUCACUCGGCCCAGUCAAACUUCAGGCAGUACUUUGAUUUCUAUGGGUACAUCUUCCACGGAUUAUCGGUUAAGGCACAGGAGAGGAAAAUCUGAAACUUUGCGUGCGCAGUACAUUAAUACAAAGGAUGUGAGGGUGACAAUUGGGACUUGGAAUGUUGCUGGAAGACUUCCAAAUGAAGAUCUUGAGAUUGAUGACUGGCUUUGUACAGAAGAGCCAGCAGAUAUUUACAUUAUUGGUGCUAAAAUCUGUCUCUCUCUCUCUCUCUCUCUACAAGGUUUUCAAGAGGUAGUCCCUUUGAAUGCCGGGAAUGUUCUGGGAGCAGAGGAUAGCCGGCCUAUUCGAAAAUGGGAGGCAAUAAUUCGAAAAACUCUCAACAAAUCUUUGGAACCUAAAAGCAAACACAAGAGUUAUAGUGCCCCACCCUCCCCAGUGCUAAGGACUUCUUCUGUUGCUGAUGUUCUUGCAUCUGAGAUUGAUGUUCAUCCAUUAGAGAUGAUGUGUGAGGGAUACACCAGGAAGAAAAAUUUUUAUGACAUGGAACAAGAGACACUGGAUGAAGGAAUUGAUAUUGGAAUGCAUUCUCAAUUGAGGAGAAUAUAUGGCAUUGAUUUCACCAGUAGAUUAGACUGGCCUGAGCAUUCAUUAGAUGCAACCCCUCAGGCAAUCUCCUCCAAUUCAAAGUUGCGGAGAGUAUUUAGCAGUUCGGGAAGAAUUGGAUAUAACUUGACAGAGAAUUCUCUACGAGGGAGUCCACAAACUUUUGCAUUAGGUGGUAGUAGAUUGAAACGAAUGCAUAAUAGUUCUGGUGAUCUAGGCUUGAUGUGGUUGGAGCAGCAAGAGAAGCCUGAAGUUCUCGAUUCUCUCUCUGAUGUUUCUGACACCUUUUCUGAUGAGGAAGAUGGUUUUUUUGAAUUACCAGAGGAGCAGCAUAAUUUUGAUGUAACUGAAAAUGGUGUGAAGUCAUGUCCUAGGUAUGUGCGAGUUGUCAGCAAGCAGAUGGUAGGGAUAUAUGUAUCAGUUUGGGUUCGAAAGAGGUUGAGAAGGCAUAUCAACAAUUUGGAAGUUUCUCUUGUUGGAGUCGGUCUGAUGGGCUACAUGGGAAACAAGGGCUCUGUUUCUGUUAGCAUGUCCCUGUUUCAAUCACGAAUGUGCUUUGUUUGUUCUCAUCUGACCUCUGGUCAGAAGGAUGGGGCUGAGCAGAGGCGUAAUUCUGAUGUCUAUGAAAUAAUGCGACGUACCUGUUUCUCAUCUUUCUUUGAAACAAAUCAACCACAGACUAUUCCUUCUCAUGAUCAGAUAUUCUGGUUUGGGGAUUUGAACUAUCGUAUCAAUAUGUUGGAUACGGAAGUUAGGAAACUGGUUGCUCUUAGAAGGUGGGAUGAACUUCUCAAAAACGAUCAGCUAAGCAAAGAACUCCAGAGUGGACAUGUAUUUGAUGGAUGGAACGAGGGCGUGAUAGACUUUCCACCUACUUACAAGUAUGAAACCAGCUCUGAUAGAUAUGUUGGCGAGAACCCAAAAGAAGGGGAGAAAAGAUCUCCAGCCUGGUGUGAUCGUGUGCUGUGGUUAGGAAAAGGUAUAAAACAACUUUCGUACGAAAGGGCUGAAAUAAGGCUCUCAGAUCAUCGACCAGUUAGUUCAAAUUUCUUGGUUGAAGUUGAAGUCCUAGACCAUCGGAAGCUGAAAAGGGCUAUCAAUUACAAUAGUGCAGCUGUACAUCCUGAAAUUUUCCCCGACGAAGAGAGUUAGAAUGAGAAAUCUUAGCAGAUACCAGGAGGAAAUCAAUGGGAAAUGCCUAUAAAUGCAGCACAUGUAAACUCUUAAGAGAGCAAAGGCAAUCCCAUAACUGUCAACUGGCCUACCAUAUGAACAAAAAAGGCAUUAGAGAAAAAAGAGCCUCCCAUACCCAUCGAUGCCAAAGGGAGGGAAAAAUCUCCCUCUCCGGCCGCUUCCAUGAUCAAAAGCCUAUCCAGCCUUUGUUCUCGGUACCAAGAAGCUGCCUCCAUUUUUCUCCCAGUUUUUCUGUAAGGAAGAAGCUCAAUUUAGUGCCAACCGUCCACUAUCAGAUCCCAUGCACCACCCCACAAGGUAUAGCAUGGGCCAGUCUUCCAUCCCAUCAAAAUGAUUGGAAAAUUCUCUGGCGCCACAGGGAUCACAUGCGAAGCCCAUAUCAAUGCUUCUUUGGUCAAUUUUCUUUUUUCCUUGAGAAAUAGUUAUCUACCGUCUCCUUUGUCAAGGACCUGGAGGAACAGAGAUUGGGUCUUCCCAUCUCUCACUCGAAAAUGAUUACUUUAAAAGAUUGCUCCAGAUAUAUGUGAAGACGGGACUUGAAUUAACUAUAGCUACCUUGGUUCCCUAUCUCCUGAUUUUCAGCCUCUGUUACAUUUUCCAUAAGGGAUUGCAAAUUAUUUUGGCAAGGUUGCAAGAUUGUUAUCUGGUUGAUGAUUGUUGGUUUCAAGAUACACCCACCAACUAUUACUUUCUGACUAGUAGCUUACUAGAAGCGAUCCUCACUGUCAAGUGUUGCAGUCUGCAUCGGAAGUUAAGUUUGCCUUAGGUUAUACAAGUCAAUAAGUUAAUAGGACUAACAGGUAAAUGUAUAUGGUAAAGGCCUAUCCUAUUUUUUUUUUUUUUUGAAGGCCUAUCCAUUUGUUUUUAUAGUUUUUGUUUUAGUCUUGUUUUGUUAAAUUUGUAGUUCGAUUGGUUUGUGGGGCUGAUAUAAAUGCCAUUUGACAGUUUUUACUAAUAAUUGGAUUAAUACAUACAAAAUCUUUAUCUUA